rnacentral:tRNA from 1 species
UUACUGGUAGGUUAUUUAAACUGACAAAUUGUGGUUUUGUUGAUUACGCUUUUUUUCUUUGUAUCA